GAUGAAGAACGCAGCGAAAUGCGAUAAGUAAUGUGAAUUGCAGAAUUCAGUGAAUCAUCGAAUCUUUGAACGCACAUUGCGCCCGUUAGCAUUCUAGCGGGCAUGCCUGUCCGAGCGUCAUUUCAACCCUCAGGGUCCCCGUUCCGGCGGGGAACCUGGUGUUGGGGAUCGGCCCGCCCCGUGCGGCGCCGUCCCCCAAAUUCAGUGGCGGUCUCGCUGCAGCCUCCCCUGCGUAGUAGUUACAACCUCGCAUCGGAGCUCAGCGCGGCCACGCCGUAAAACCCCCGACUUUCUGAACGUUGACCUCGGAUCAGGUAGGAAUACCCGCUGAACUUAAGCAUAUCAAUAGCGGAGGA
rnacentral:misc_RNA from 1 species